AUUGAACGCUGGCGGCAGGCUUAACACAUGCAAGUCGAGCGGGGAAGGGUAGCUUGCUACCUAACCUAGCGGCGGACGGGUGAGUAAUGCUUAGGAAUCUGCCAUUUAGUGGGGGACAACAUUCCGAAAGGAAUGCUAAUACCGCAUACGUCCUACGGGAGAGAGCAGGGGAUCUUCGGACCUUGCGCUAAAUGAUGAGCCUAAGUCGGAUUAGCUAGUUGGUGGGGUAAAGGCCUACCAAGGCGACGAUCUGUAGCGGGUCUGAGAGGAUGAUCCGCCACACUGGGACUGAGACACGGCCCAGACUCCUACGGGAGGCAGCAGUGGGGAAUAUUGGACAAUGGGCGGAAGCCUGAUCCAGCCAUGCCGCGUGUGUGAAGAAGGCCUUAUGGUUGUAAAGCACUUUAAGCGAGGAGGAGGCUACUUAGAUUAAUACUCUAGGAUAGUGGACGUUACUCGCAGAAUAAGCACCGGCUAACUCUGUGCCAGCCGCCGCAGUAA
rnacentral:rRNA from 1 species